rnacentral:misc_RNA from 1 species
CACCCAUUUUCCAUCACUUCUGCUCCUGGGGAUGACUAUUUAAGUGUUCACAUUAGAACUUUGGGUGAUUGGACAAGGCAACUCAAAGCUGUAUUCUCACAGGUUUGCCAAGCACCUGACAGUGGGAAAAGUGGACUUCUCAGAGCUGACGGCUUCCAAGGAAACAACAAUCCAAUUUGUUUUCCAAGAGUUUUGAUUGAUGGUCCAUAUGGAGCACCAGCACAAGACUACAAAGAGUAUGAGGUGGUUCUGCUUGUGGGUCUAGGAAUUGGAGCAACCCCAAUGAUAAGCAUUGUGAAGGACAUAGUGAGCAACAUAAGGGCCUUGGAAGAAGGAGAGGGUGCACUAGAAGAUGGCACAUUGCCAAAAACACCUACUCCUAAUACUGCACUGAGAAGAAAAGAUAACUUCAAGACAAGCAGGGCAUACUUUUAUUGGGUAACAAGGGAACAAGGGUCCUUCGACUGGUUUAAAGGGGUGAUGAAUGAAGUGGCUGAACUAGACCACAACCAUGUCAUAGAGCUCCAUAACUAUUGCACUAGUGUUUACGAAGAAGGAGAUGCAAGGUCUGCCCUAAUUGCCAUGCUUCAAUCCCUCCAUCAUGCCAAGAAUGGUGUUGAUAUUGUCUCUGGAACUCGAGUCAAGUCCCACUUUGCCAAGCCCAAUUGGAGGAAUGUCUACAAAAGCAUUGCCCUUAACCACCCCAAUUCUCGAGUUGGGGUGUUUUAUUGUGGGGCACCAGCGCUUACAAAAGAGCUACGUCACCUAGCUUUGGAUUUCUCACACAAAACAAACACCACCAAGUUUGAUUUUCACAAAGAAAAUUUCUAAUUUUCAAAGGAUGAGAAGAGAAAUAGAGAGAGAGAGAAACAUGACAGGCCAACUCAUAUUGAGCUCCACCAAGAUCCCACUUUCUGGCACGUUACAAAGAUUUUGGCCCCUUUUGUUGACCUUUUAAGUCUCUCAAAUGUCAAUAAUGUAUUCUUUAAUCUUUAUUAAGUUUGCUUAAUAAUUCAAUAGAGAACUGGUACAAUGAUGUGCACCCAAAAGAACGUGCGUUGGUUGAUUGAAGGGGCAGCUCAGCCUCAGCUACAGAGCCCACCAUAACAGUUGGGGUUAGAAGAUCAGAAAGUGGAGUGCUUACGUAAGUGAGCCUCUAUCUAUAAGAUGUAAAGUAUUUGUCUUCCUUUUCAUCUUGAAGCAUGC